AGAGUUUGAUCAUGGCUCAGGACGAACGCUGGCGGCGUGCUUAACACAUGCAAGUCGAACGAGGUCCAUUCAGUAGCAAUACUGAUGAAGAUCUAGUGGCGAACGGGUGCGUAACACGUGAGGAACUUGUCCCGGUCUCUGGGAUAACAGUUGGAAACGACUGCUAAUACCGGAUGACGUCGGAACUUCGCAUGGAGUACUGACGAAAGGGUUACUGGAUCGGGAGAGCCUCGCGGCCUAUCAGCUUGUUGGUGGGGUAAUGGCCUACCAAGGCAUCGACGGGUAGCUGGUCUGAGAGGAUGAUCAGCCACACUGGGACUGAGACACGGCCCAGACUCCUACGGGAGGCAGCAGUGGGGAAUCUUGCACAAUGGGCGAAAGCCUGAUGCAGCAACGCCGCGUGCGGGAAGAAGGCCCUCGGGUUGUAAACCGCUUUCAGAAGGAACGAAACUGACGGUACUUUCAGAAGAAGGUGCGGCCAACUACGUGCCAGCAGCCGCGGUGACACGUAGGCACCAAGCGUUGUCCGGAUUUAUUGGGCGUAAAGAGCUCGUAGGCGGUUCAGUAAGUCGGGUGUGAAAACUUUGGGCUUAACCCAAAGCGUGCAUCCGAUACUGCUGUGACUUGAGUACGGUAGGGGAGCGGGGAAUUCCUAGUGUAGCGGUGAAAUGCGCAGAUAUUAGGAGGAACACCGGUGGCGAAGGCGCCGCUCUGGGCCGAAACUGACGCUGAGGAGCGAAAGCAUGGGUAGCAAACAGGAUUAGAUACCCUAGUAGUCC
rnacentral:rRNA from 1 species